rnacentral:rRNA from 1 species
UACGGAAUGUGCAAACGUUAUUCGGAAUCACUGGGCUUAAAGAGUCCGUAGGCGGCAUGUUAGGUGAGGUGUGAAAUCCCCCGGCUCAACCGAGGAAUUGCGCUUCAAACCGGCGUGCUUGAGGAAGAUAGAGGUGGGCGGAACUGAUGGUGGAGCGGUGAAAUGCGUAGAGAUCAGGAAGAACACCAGUGGCGAAGGCGCUCUGCUAGGCCGUAACUGACACUGAGGGACGAAAGCUAGGGGAGCGAAUGGG